rnacentral:rRNA from 1 species
CCUACGGGGGUGCAGCAGUGGGGAAUAUUGGACAAUGGGCGAAAGCCUGAUCCAGCCAUGCCGCGUGUGUGAAGAAGGCCUUCGGGUUGUAAAGCACUUUCAGUGGGGAAGAAAGCCUUGGGGCUAAUACCCUCGAGGAAGGACAUCACCCACAGAAGAAGCACCGGCUAACUCCGUGCCAGCAGCCGCGGUAAUACGGAGGGUGCGAGCGUUAAUCGGAAUUACUGGGCGUAAAGCGCGCGUAGGCGGUCUGAUAAGCCGGUUGUGAAAGCCCCGGGCUCAACCUGGGAACGGCAUCCGGAACUGUCAGGCUAGAGUGCAGGAGAGGAAGGUAGAAUUCCCGGUGUAGCGGUGAAAUGCGUAGAGAUCGGGAGGAAUACCAGUGGCGAAGGCGGCCUUCUGGACUGACACUGACGCUGAGGUGCGAAAGCGUGGGUAGCAAACAGGAUUAGAUACCCCUGUAGUC